UACGGGGGGGGGGCAAGCGUUGUUCGGAAUUACUGGGCGUAAAGGGCUCGUAGGUGGCCCAACUAAGUCAGACGUGAAAUCCCCAGGCUCAACUUGGGAACUGCGUCUGAUACUGGAUGGCUUGAAUUCGGGAGAGGGAUGCAGAAUUCCAGGUGUAGCGGUGAAAUGCGUAGAUAUCUGGAGGAACACCGGUGGCGAAGGCGGUUCUCUGGGCCUUACCUGACGCUGAGGAGCGAAAGCGUGGGGAGCGAACAGG
rnacentral:rRNA from 1 species